GUGCUCGCAAGAGAGCCGGAACACAGGUGCUGGCAUGGCUGUCGUCAGCUCGUGUCGUGAGAUGUUGGGUUAAGUCCCGCAACGAGCGCAACCCUUGUCAUUAGUUGCCAUCAUUUGUUGGGCACUCUAAUGAGACUGCCGGUGACAAACCGGAGGAAGGUGGGGAUGACGUCAAGUCCUCAUGGCCCUUAUGGGUAGGGCUUCACACGUCAUACAAUGGUCGGUACAGAGGGUUGCCAACCCGCGAGGGGGAGCUAAUCCCACAAAGCCGAUCGUAGUCCGGAUCGCAGUCUGCAACUCGACUGCGUGAAGUCGGAAUCGCUAGUAAUCGUGGAUCAGCAUGUCACGGUGAAUACGUUCCCGGGUCUU
rnacentral:rRNA from 1 species